rnacentral:pre_miRNA from 1 species
GAUGCGUCCGGUCGAAGUCUUCAUCGGCCGUGAUUGCGACCGACGGUCGGUGGGACUUUCGUCCGUUUGCAGA